rnacentral:lncRNA from 1 species
CCACGAAGAGGAGGGCCGGCAGCGCCCAACGUGCUCCUCCGCCCUGCAAGAGGCGGCCCCCCCAGCGCCGCUAGCGGGGCUCCCACUUCUUGCCAAUAAAAGAUAAAAACGUACAUGCACGUGUUGUUCCUAGAGACGGCUCAGCCUUCACACACACACCCUACACAUGCUGUGCCACAUGAGAACCAGUUCUCUCGGCACCUGGUGUGGACGUGCCACCAUUCAACCCUUCCCCUGGGCCAUGCGUGCAGUGUGAGCUGCAGAGCCACUGCGAGCGGGAUCCUCUGAGCGGUGGGUGAAGACAGCCAAAGUGCCGGCAGGUAGAGCUAUUUUCAAUAGGAGCCCAUCUACGCACUCAAGCAGAACGCUCCUUAGUUCCCAGUUCAUGUGGCUUGCUUAAUUGCAGCGCCUUUCACACUGCCACAGUCUUAUCUCCAGAUCUGUGUCCAUGACGAGGACAGCAGGCCCACGGGCCCACCAGCCCAAAAAGGUGGGGAAAGCGGGAAAGCGAACAAAAGGGAAUGAGGGGGGGAAAAAAACAGUGGCAACGAUCUGAGGAGGAAAACAAACCUAGUUUACCAAUUAUAAUAGUGAAAAUACAAGUCAGUUGGGAUUGAAGCUAAUACAUCACAUAGAUGAGUUUCUGAAGACCGAGGUUCUUCCUCUGAUCUGCCAGGGAGCAAAGAGAACUACUCUCAUGACUUCCACUCAGAUUUAUCUUUCCCACCAACCGGAAAACAGAAAUGCAACAGGGAAGUCUUCUGGGGGCUGUCGUACAUUUCAUCCCUUCUGAGACAGGUAAACGGAACUGUCGACAAUCCACAGAACUGCAGCAUUAACUUUCCAACUCCCAGUGCACUGCAUGAAGUUAUCACGUGGAGAACCGAUAACAAAAACCGUAACAUCACGACACACACGCAUGGAUAAACUGUGCAAUACUAUCCACUAAGCACACUGCCAGGGGUCCGGCGUAGGGGGUAGAGGUCACUGUCCUUCUUAAUACACUUUUUACAAACGGGUGCAGUGCUCUCUUUUCUUGUCAGUGCGGACAUCUUGGCUGCCAUUACUUUUCAAGUCUGACAGAGAGUGGCUUGUCAACUCCAUCUUCCAAUUCCUUGAGGACUCUGGAAUGAAUCUGGUUGGGCCCCAGGGGCCGGUUCCAGGCUCCUCA